rnacentral:rRNA from 1 species
UACGUAGGGGGCAAGCGUUGUCCGGAUUUAUUGGGCGUAAAGAGCGUGUAGGCGGCCAGGUAGGUCCGUUGUGAAAACUGGAGGCUUAACCUCCAGCUGUCGAUGGAAACCAUCUGGCUAGAGUCCGGAAGAGGAGAGUGGAAUUCCUGGUGUAGCGGUGAAAUGCGCAGAUAUCAGGAAGAACACCCGUGGCGAAGGCGGCUCUCUGGGACGGUACUGACGCUGAGACGCGAAAGCUAGGGGAGCAAACGGG